CUGCGCCCGCCCCCACCAGGACGGGAGUCGGCACCCCCAGGCUGGGCUCAGUCUCCGGGGUUCCUUCCGGUUCACACCCUCUGUCACUCCGAGAUCCUCUGGGCUCCAGAGCGAGGAACCCUGGGUCUUUGUACACGUGUCUGUGCGCCUGCUGGUGCGGGGUGGGGGGGUGGGGGGGUGGGGUAGAAUGUCUCUUUUGAAUUUCCAUAGCAACUGCUCCGGUGUCACCCUAUUGCUCCCAAAGGUUUAAGCAGUUGCGUUGCAAAUUUACAUAUAUCUGCAUGUCAUUAACAUAGAGGCGGAGCCGGAACUUGUUUGGGCAACUAUCCCUGGACAGUUCUCCUGGCUUUGCUUUCAUCCCGUCCGAUGGCCACCUGGACUGCGCAUGCCUCCAGACAUGGCAGGAGAAACUUCCAGAUGUCAGGGCAGACCGGAUUCCAGCCGUGAGAUGAGAAAUAUUGGCCAGACCAGGGUCUUCCAUCUGCUCUAAAGAAAUGGACCUGAAGGUUCUUCUGAUCUGAAUGAAGUUCCCAUGGAAACCCCUCAGACUGGGAAGCUGAGGCAGGAGAAUGCUAUCUUAGUGUUACUGUUGCUGUAAUGAAACCAUCAUGGCCAAAAGCAAUUUUCUUCGGAUUACACUUCCACGUGAACUCAAACAAGGCAGGAGCUGAGGCAGAGGCCAUGGAGGAGUGCUGCUCACUGGCUUGCUCCCCAUGGCUUGUUCAGCCUGCUUUCUUAAAGAACUCUGGACCACCAGCCCAGGGAUGGCCCCGCCCACAACAGGCUGGGCCCUCCCAGAUCAAUCACUAAUUGAGAAAAUGACCUACAGGCAGAUCUUGUGGAGGCAUAUUCUCAAUUAAAGAUCCCUCCUUUUGGAUAACUUUAGCUUGUGUCAAGUUGACCUAAGAUUAGCCAUCACAGGUGACAAGUUCAAGACCAGCCUAACCUACAGAGUGAGUUCUAGGCUGAAAUUAUACAAACAAAACUAAUAUUCAAGGCCAGGGCUGGGAAGAUAGUUCAACUAGUCAGAUACUUGCUGUGCAAGCAAUGGGAGCCUGAGAUCAACCUUCAGAACCCACAGUGCUAGAGAGGCAGGCAGAGUCAGGAGGAUCCCUGGCCUCACUGGCCAGGCACCCUCACAUAAUCUGCAAGUCCCAUGUUCCCUUGAGAUACCCUGCCUUGUUUCAAAAACAGAGCAAAACCAAGCAGAACCCACAAUGAACAGUUCCUGGAAAACACUGUCUAAACUUGCCCUUUGUCCUUACACAUACACACACACACACACACACACACACACACACACACACACACAUACACAUACACACACACAUGAAUACUGCUCCCACUCCAAAACUAUCCACACCCACCAAGUCUCCAGUCUGGGAAACACACCAUCAUACAUAAAAAUCCUGCUGUAAAAGGAUACAGGCCAACAUGUAAACAUAGGAAAUCAUGAAUGUAGACACAGGGAAUGCUCCUUGCAGAUACACCAGGACCUAUCCACCAUGCCUCGGCCCUCUCUCACACAAUAUUACACCCAUAGGCCCACACACUGUCAUUGUCUGAAGUGAGCCUAGGGCUAGCCCUAGAACUCAGAGGGUGUCCAUGGACAGGUCCCCCCACUUCCCUCAACCUCCGACUGACCAGAUGAUGGAAGCUGCCACAUCCCAAGAGAACUCUCCAUCACUGCUAGCCUGCCUGCUGAUAGGCAGGUGCACUGAGGCCCGGCUGUGCAGAAGGGGUGACGUGUAAAUAAGAUAACGAUAACGAGGCCCACCAGCACCUCCUCCAGCCUCCACACCCAACACCAGGAUAGACCGUGAGUUGGCUCCGAGCCUCCCCUACACUCAGACCUCUGCAGGAUGCAAAAGCACCCUGGGCUUAGAUGGAUGCUAACUCCCACUGGGAAGAGGGAAGAACCACCUCCCAAAGCCAGGAUUGGGAGACCACAGGCAGCCCGCUACUCCCCUGCUGACCACUGAUCAAUGAAAGUCAACAGAAUGUCAGACAGAGAAGCAGAUCUGGGGACCCCACAAAUCUAUCACAAAACAUCUGCUUGAUGGACUCUCCCACCCAGUCCCUCCGGCCUAGUCUUUGUGAGUCAGUCUCGUUUUCAUUCAUUCGUUCACUCAUUCAUUUGUCCAUCCAUCCAUCCAUCCAUCCAUCCAUCCAUCCAUCCAUCCAUCCGUUUGUCUUCUAACUUAUUCUGCCAAUAAAAACAUGAAGGAAACCAUGACAUUUAGUGACCCUGCUUCUUCUGGAUGCUGGUCGGGACAUACAGAGUGGGUGAGGGGCAGACAUGACCUGGACCGGCAGGGAUGAGCGGAAGGGAUAUCUCAGACUCUCCUUCUUCCUCAGUUUCUUGAGAUGCAAGAGGAGGGGCCACUUCUGCAGCUGGAGGGAAAAGCACCAAAUCCCAGGGCGGUGGAUAAUAAUAGCUGCCGAGAUGCGCUCUCCCGUACGUACGCGGUUCUAAGUGCUUUCCAUGAAUUAACUGAGUACAUCGGUGCAGCAACCCACAGAGGCAGCUACUAUUAUUAACCCCGUUUGUGGUCACGGGGAGGUUAAGUAACUUGGCCAAGGUCAAACAGCUUGUCAGAGCCAUCCCAAGUGUUUAAAGCAUUCCAAAGGAGGCAGCUCGCCUUCCAGCUCCUCCCCUAUCCUGCAGCUCCUGGGGCCUUCUGUGUAUGCCCUCAGACACCUCUGCAUUUCAGUUCAUUGCUAGUCCCAUUCCUCCCAAGUAGCUCCUCUUUGAGGUGAGGAGAUGACCCCACAGGCUCUAUUGGCUGGCUUCUGGUAGUUUGGAGGGCAGAAAUCUGGGGUCCCAGGUUGAGGUUCAGGGUAUUCAAAAGGGCUGGAGUCCCAGGUAACACAACCCUUUGAUCCUGUGGACCCAUGAAACCGUUAACUCUAGCAGAAAAAGGCUGAGAAGUGGAGGCAUCUAAAGUAGAGGACCCAGGGAUAUCUGUUGCUUGGGGUCUUAGAGUCCUGGAGGUGGUUCGUAAGUGA
rnacentral:lncRNA from 1 species